rnacentral:rRNA from 1 species
AUUGAACGCUGGCGGCAUGCCUUACACAUGCAAGUCGAACGGUAACAGGUCUUCGGAUGCUGACGAGUGGCGAACGGGUGAGUAAUACAUCGGAACGUGCCUAGUAGUGGGGGAUAACUACUCGAAAGAGUGGCUAAUACCGCAUGAGAUCUACGGAUGAAAGCAGGGGAUCGAAAGACCUUGUGCUACUAGAGCGGCCGAUGGAAGAUUAGGGAGUUGGUGGGAUAAAAGCUUACCAAGCCGACGAUCUGUAGCUGGUCUGAGAGGACGAUCAGCCAUACUGGGACUGAGACGCGGCCCAGACGCCUACGGGAAGCAGCAGUGGGGAAUUUUGGACAAGGGGCGAAAGCCUGAUCCAGCAAUGCCGCGUGCAGGAUGAAGGCCUUCGGAUUGUAAACUGCUUUUGUACGGAACGAAAAGCCCUGGGUUAAUACCCUGGGGUCAUGACGGUACCGUAAGAAUAAGCACCGGCUAACUACGUGCCAGCCGCCGCAGUAAGAC